rnacentral:rRNA from 1 species
ACAGCAUAAGAGAGGURGUGACAAGAAAUAACAAUACAAGGCAGUUAAAAUGCUUUGUAAUUGGAAUGAUAGAAAUUUAAACACUUUUUAAAGUAUCAAUUGGAGGGCAAGUCUGGUGCCAGCAGCCGCGGUAAUUCCAGCUCCAAUAGCGUAUAUUAAAAUUGUUGCAGUUAAAAAGCUCGUAGUUGAAUUUCUGCUAAAAAUAACCGGUCUGCUUUUAAUAAAGGUGGUAUCUUGGUGUGUUUUUAGCAAUAAUGUCCUUUGAAAUGUUUUUUACUUCAUUGUAAUAAAUUAUAUUUAGGAUUUUUACUUUGAGAAAAUUAGAGUGUUUCUAGCAGGCUAAUGCUUUGAAUACUGCAGCAUGGAAUAAUAAAAUAGGAUUU